UACGUAGGGAGCAAGCGUUAUCCGGAUUUAUUGGGUGUAAAGGGUGCGUAGACGGGAAGGCAAGUUGGUUGUGAAAUCCCUCGGCUUAACUGAGGAACUGCAACCAAAACUAUCUUUCUUGAGUGCUGGAGAGGAAAGUGGAAUUCCUAGUGUAGCGGUGAAAUGCGUAGAUAUUAGGAGGAACACCAGUGGCGAAGGCGACUUUCUGGACAGCAACUGACGUUGAGGCACGAAAGUGUGGGGAGCAAACAGG
rnacentral:rRNA from 1 species